GAUGAACGCUAGCUCCAGGUUUAACACAUGCACGUCGAGGGCCCGGCGCACGGGUGAGUAACAUGUAUCCAACCUGCACUUUACACGGGGAUAGCCUUUCGAAAGAAAGAUUAAUACCCGAUAUAAAGGAUGGGGAUGCGUUCCAUUAGUAUGUUGGGGAGGUAAUGGCUCACCAAGCCUUCGAUGGAUAGGGGUUCGGAGUGGAAGGGCCCCCACAUUGGAACUGAGACACGGUCCAAACUCCUACGGGCGGCAGCAGUGAGGAAUAUUGGUCAAUGGGCGCUAGCCUUAACCAGCCAAGUAGCGUGAAGGAUGAAGGCUUCUGGGGCUUAAACUUCUUUUAGAAAAGAAUAGGUAUUAUAUGAAGAAGGAUCGGCUAACUCCGUGCCAGCAGCCGCGGUAAUAC
rnacentral:rRNA from 1 species